rnacentral:rRNA from 1 species
UUAAAGUCUAACCUGCCCACUGAAUUAUUUAAAUGGCCGCAGUAUUCUAACUGUGCAAAGGUAGCAUAAUCAUUAGUCUUUUAAUUGAAGGCUGGAAUGAAUGGUUGGACGAGAUAUUAACUGUUUCAUUUAAAAUUUUUUUAGAAUUUUAUUUUUUAGUCAAAAAGCUAAAAUUUAAUUAAAAGACGAGAAGACCCUAUAAAUCUUUAUACUUUAUUUAUUUUAAAUGUAAAGGUUAUUUUUUUUAUAAUAAAAUAAAGUAUUUUAUUGGGGUGAUAUUAAAAUUUAAAAAACUUUUAAUUUGAUUAAAUCAUUAAUUUAUGAAUAGUUGAUCCAUUAAUAAUGAUUAAAAAUUUAAGUUACUUUAGGGAUAACAGCGUAAUUUUUUUGGAGAGUUCUUAUCGAUAAAAAAGAUUGCGACCUCGAUGUUGGAUUAAGAUAUAAUUUUGGGUGUAGCCGUUCAAAUUUUAAGUCUGUUCGACUUUUAAAUUCUUACAUGAUCUGAGUUCAGACCGGCGUAAGCCAGGUUGGUUUCUAUCUUUAAUAAAUUAUAAUAUUUUAGUACGAAAGGACCAAAUAUUAAAAUAAUUAUAUUUUUAUGUUGAAUAUCAUUAAAUUAA